rnacentral:rRNA from 1 species
AGCGAACGCUGGCGGCAGGCCUAACACAUGCAAGUCGAACGAACUCUUCGGAGUUAGUGGCGGACGGGUGAGUAACACGUGGGAACGUGCCUUUUGGUUCGGAAUAACUCAGGGAAGCUUGUGCUAAUACCGAAUGUGCCCUUCGGGGGAAAGAUUUAUCGCCAUUAGAGCGGCCCGCGUCUGAUUAGCUAGUUGGUGAGGUAACGGCUCACCAAGGCGACGAUCAGUAGCUGGUCAGAGAGGAUGACCAGGCACACUGGGACUGAGACACGGCCCAGACUCAUACGGGAGGCAGCAGUGGGGAAUCUUACGCAAUGGGCGAAAGACUGGCGCAGCAAUGCCGCGUGAAUGAUGAAGGUAUUAGGAUUGUAAGAUUCUUUCAACGGGGACGAUAAUGACGGUACCCGGAGAAGAAGCCCCGGCUAACUUCGUG